rnacentral:lncRNA from 1 species
GACGCCCUUCAAAGUCCGUGUGGCCGCAUUUGGAAGCCUGGGCGGCGUGGAGACGGCGCCUUCAGCUUGAGAUAAAUGUGGCCCCGUCCCAGAGCACCACCCGAGACAUCAGGAGCCCAUCGUGGGCUAGGGAAGAUCCUCCGGGACCUAACGGCCCAGGUCUUCCACCCUUGGCCACCUCCCCAGGUGAUGCCUGAAGCUCAAGGGACUGUGUCCACCCUCAGGCCCUGCCCGUGGCUCUGGAUCGGCGGUCCCCAUCAGAGGCCUGGGCUGAGUCCUCAGGUGUGGGUCGACGCAGGUCCUCUGGGCAGCAUGGGGUGGUGCCGGGUGGACCCCACGGUGGCCUGUGUUCGCCACGUGGCCGUGGGUCAGUUCCUCGCUGGAGGAGACCCUUCCCCAGACACCUGCCGGGCACCCAGCCAAACCCUUGAGGCCUGGGAAGGUCUCUGGAUGCCACCCUACACCCCGCCCAGACUCCUCUCCCUGUGGUUCCUGGACAGAACAUUCCGUCACCACGAAACGAAGUUUGCCCAGGCCCUGCCUUCACCCUGGGAAAACCCAGCCGGGCAUGGGAAGGAGGAAUGCUGCCCGCCUGCCCGCCCAGACCAGAGUCGCCCCACAUGCCAGGCCAGGCCCGCAUCCUCCUGGGGCACACGGGAGCCCCAGGCUUCCCGGCAGGAAAAGCCCCCCACCGCAGAAGGGCUGGUCUCUGGUGGGGAGUUGCUGCUGGGUGGGGUGACCACAGGGCGGGGUUCAGGCUGGGGUAUUUUUAAUGAUGUAGUUGCAUCUGGUCACCGCCCCCUGCCACCCCCGAUUCUUUCCUGCCCUCCCCACCUUGUGACCCAGACUGUGGCUUGAAUUAAGAAUGUUUUCAGAUAAGUACACGCCUUUGAGGUUAAAAGUAUGCCUAAUGAUUAAACACCAGACAGAGAUCCCCACAG